rnacentral:rRNA from 1 species
UAGCGCAUGAGCGAGCCUGACGCAGCGACGCCGCGUGGGGGAUGAAGGUCUUCGGAUUGUAAACCCCUUUCGGGAGGGAAGAUGGGAUGGGGUAACCCAUUCGGACGGUACCUCCAGAAGCAGCCACGGCUAACUUCGUGCCAGCAGCCGCGGUAAUACGAAGGUGGCAAGCGUUGUUCGGAUUUACUGGGCGUACAGGGAGCGUAGGCGGUUGGAUAAGCCCUCCGUGAAAUCUCCAGGCUUAACCUGGAAAGUGCAGAGGGGACUGUUCAGCUAGAGGAUGGGAGAGGAGCGCGGAAUUCCCGGUGUAGCGGUGAAAUGCGUAGAGAUCGGGAGGAAGGCCGGUGGCGAAGGCGGCGCUCUGGAACAUUUCUGACGCUGAGGCUCGAAAGCGUGGGGAGCAAACAGGAUUAGAUACCCCUGGUAGA